rnacentral:tRNA from 1 species
GCGGUCCCAGGUGAUCGGCAGUCGCGCCGGUCCUCGGGUGGCCGUUCCCGUCUUCCAGACGAUGUCCUGUUCGGUGCCGGCGAACCGCA